CGAGCCGAAGAUGCGGCGGAGCUGGAAGAUGGCUCUGUCUGGGGGGUUGCGUUGCUGCCGCCGGGUACUGUCCUGGGUGCCAGUGCUCGUUAUUGUCCUCGUCGUGCUCUGGUCCUACUAUGCCUACGUCUUUGAACUCUGCCUGGUGACUGUUUUGAGCCAAGCAGAAAAAGUUAUCUACCUCAUACUCUAUCAUGCCAUCUUUGUAUUCUUCACAUGGACCUACUGGAAGUCUAUCUUUACACUCCCACAGCAGCCAAAUCAGAAGUUCCACUUGUCCUACACAGACAAGGAGCGCUAUGAAAAUGAAGAGAGACCUGAGGUCCAGAAGCAGAUGCUUAUUGAUAUGGCCAAGAAGCUGCCAGUGUACACAAGAACCGGGAGUGGAGCUGUACGAUUCUGUGACCGGUGCCAUCUAAUCAAGCCAGACCGCUGCCAUCACUGUUCUGUCUGUGCCAUGUGUGUUUUAAAAAUGGACCAUCACUGCCCUUGGGUUAAUAACUGCAUUGGAUUUUCCAACUACAAAUUCUUUCUUCAAUUCUUAGCUUAUUCCGUUUUGUACUGCCUGUACAUUGCCACAACAGUCUUCAGCUAUUUCAUCAAAUACUGGAGAGGGGAAUUGCCCAGUGUUCGCUCCAAGUUCCAUGUCCUCUUUCUCCUCUUUGUGGCCUGCAUGUUUUUUGUCAGCCUUGUGAUUCUCUUUGGUUACCAUUGUUGGCUUGUUAGCAGAAACAAAACUACCUUAGAGGCCUUCUGCACUCCAGUGUUUACAAGUGGACCAGAGAAAAAUGGGUUCAAUCUUGGCUUUAUCAAGAAUAUCCAGCAGGUGUUUGGCGAUAAUAAGAAGUUCUGGUUAAUACCUGUUGGGUCCAGCCCUGGGGAUGGCCACUCCUUCCCAAUGAGGUCUAUGAAUGAAUCACAGAACCCACUGCUAGCAAAUGAAGAACCCUGGGAAGACAAUGAUGAUGACAAUCGAGAUUAUCCAGAAGGCUCGUCAUCUCUUGCUGUGGAAACAGAAACAUAGCCGUUACACAUUUCCUACAUCCCAGACAGGUCAGUAUUCUGAGAGAGGCACAUUCAGCAGCAACUGGACUGCUAUGCAUGGGAGCAGAGCUGGAAAAGGAGUGAGUUCUUUCUGGAACCACCAUCUCCCACAAGGCUUACAGACUUCAAUGCUGGGAACCAUUCUAAUCCUCAAAAUAAGUCACCAUGUUGGAUUGAAAGCUUCACAGUUUGGAAGUGUUCGGUCAAAUACUUACUGUGCCGAUAUUUCAGGACUUUACAUAUUAUUUACUUUUCUGACUGAAUUCAAUCUGAAAACAAUUACUUCAAGCCAGCUUUUCUUUCUUACCUACCCUAGUCCAUGAAAGCCUAAAUGUUUUUAGAUUCAUCACGUGAGCUAAGAGGGAAUUCAGAAGACUGUGCUGGAGUCUUUGAUUCCCUGAUGAAAGACCAUUAGUCAUGUCUCUCUACAAGGUUUUUUCGGUGUUGAGGGGAGUCAGCACACAUUUGCUGCUUAUGUUCAUGGACAUUUAUAUACAUGUGUAUGUGCAGUAUAUCGAUACAGAAUUUUGCCAAAAAUCAAGUUUUAAAAACUGAGGCUUGUAUUUAAUCAUGCUUUUCUCUAAGUAGGAAUUUAAAUAUUUGAUAAGCUUCGAACCAUCCCUAUAUCGUGUAUCUGGAGUUUAUAAAUACCAAGGUCCUAAAGUUGAGACUUGAACAAUGGUCCAAAACUGUCCUAUCACAGAAGUUCCUGAAAGCUUGUAAGAAAGACCAAAUCAAAACAGACUUUGACUUUAGUAAGCCUAACAGUGUUUUAAGACCAGUCAUGAUGGUGCAUGCCUGUCAUCCCAGCACUUGGGAGGCAGAGCCAGGGUUACAUAGUGAGACCCUAUCUUGACAAAAUAAACAAAAAAGGAGGGGGAAAUAAUGUUUUAAAGACCUUUAAUGCAAGGUUAUGGUAAAAUUCUCUAUUUUAUUCAUUUCUCUGCUAUAUAGUUUUAUUUUAGCCUUUAUAAAUUACUUUUAUAAUGGAAGAAAUACUAUAAGCCUAAGUUAUGGACCAUCAGUUUUGUAAAGGGAUUUAAGGGCGAUUUUCAGGUAUAAUUAAAAUACUGUACAAGAAGGUAAAGUUUCACAUCUGACAUUAGCCUGGGGAUUUACCCGAAGGUUUGUGUUUUCACACCAGGGGUUACUGUCCAGAGUUAAGUGAACAGUAAUAUUCCAGUCCUCUUUUUUAAGCUUCAGUGGCAGCUCAGCCAUUAGGAUAGUUUACAUCCAUUUCCCCGUUUAUUUAUAACCAGCCUUUCUUUCAGCCCUAGUGCCUGGAUCGAUAAGUAUGGACACUAAUGCUGCUUCUUUAUAAUAAUACCUAAGAGUAUUGAUGUUUUUCAUUUUCCAACCAGCACUCUAAUGCCCAGCUGCUGACAAUAAAAGCCGGAACUCUUAACAGAGAUCAGUGGGAGUUAGAGGCAUCUCACAGAUAUCAAGGAAUUGAACUCUUAAGACAUGGUUGGGUUUACUAAAUUAUCCUCUCUAAAAUGCCUCCGAAUAUAAAAAAGAGUUGCCUGGCACAAACAAAUCCGUAUUGGGGCUCCAGUGCAACUAAGAGGGAAAGUGAUCCAGCAACUUAAAACAACAGCCAAAUCUGUCCAUUGGGAACUCCUAGGUAAUUUUAGACAAGGUGAGACAUUUAGCAUCAAGUGAACAGAUUGUGGUCAGCAUUUCAUUUGAGAAAAUAUUAGACAUGAAUAAAUCUAUUGGGGCUAGGAACUGCUUCUGAAGCUAAAGUAAGGAGCAGCCUUGAAGACUGUGCACACUGGCUUCAUGAUGAAAUCGUAUGUAUUCACAUGGGAAGAACUUUCCCCUCCAUGAUCCUUCUAAAGCACUUGUCUAGAUUUUUCUUGAAAGUAUAUUUGGCCAUCCACGUGGUUUUAUGGUCCACAAGUCUUGCUUUCUAGUCCUAAGAAUAUGUACUUUCCUCUAAAGCAGGGAGGGGCAGCAGCACCUAUUCCACAGCCGGAGCGCAUCAAAGAAAUCUCCCCUGCCCCCAUCUUUUAUCUUCUGCCAAGAGUAUAGGUACAGAAGCUGCUAUCCAUGAUUCAAAAUUGGAAAGGCACCAGGAAAUUCUCUAAUGCACAGAGUGUAUUAUCGUUCAGUCUUCACAGAACUCAUGUCACAAAAGACAGUGUUAUUAAACAACAAUGAAGCACUGGGAGGGGAAAGCUCAGGUAAUGCAAACUGAUUGUGUAGUGUCUUAAAGACCUAUACUGUCUCCAAAAGACUAAAUAAAUCAGGGUUUUCUCUGGGUGCUUGGGGGGGAGGGGCGGAGGGAAACGCUAUUCUUGCUUUAAUAUCUUGAUCCCACUAGUUUACAGACAUUGAUAAUAUCCCUAUCCAUAGAUAAUUUCUAUACCUACUACUGUAGAUUAUUAUUGAUUAAGAAAACAGAGUGGCUUGUUUCAUCAUCAGCAUGCCCUGACCAGUUUUUGGUACUCUUCUUCCCCUGUUGCAAAAUGAAGAUAACUCAUUAUUAAGGUCCUAUAGCUGAAAGGUGCUAUGUAACUCCCUAGUGCUCUUACUUGUUUUUAUUUGUAGGACUGGAAUGAAAAGGUUAACCAUUACAGUAUUUCUGAGCAAAUUAAUAGGAUUCAUUCUUUUCUUCCAUGCUGUUGUUGCUGCUUUUUUUUUUCUUGAAAAGCCUAGAGUACUCUGUUGAUGUUGCUCUAUUUCUUCCAAUAAUGUCCUUAGAACGAGACAGAAUGAAAUUAUUUGUCCUGAAAUUAAGAAUAAAAGUGAUAAAGUGCCCCUGAAAAGCACAUAGAUAUGCUCACAGUUUAUACUGUCCAGCCGACUGUUAAAGUGGCUUGGCUUCCUAGUACAGGAAUUACCAUGGAGCAGCUUAGAACACUGAGAACAAAGAGAACAGGAUCAAGAGUCCUGUCUGCUUUCUCCAAAAUCGUGAUGUAUGCAGUUUAUACAGCUCUUUAUUUUCUAAUGCAGUAUGUGCCUCUUUCCCUCAUGAGCCCUGUAUGACAUAUAUAUUUCACACUAGAUGGCAUCAGCCAGUGCCACAAUCUCCUGUGGUACCUAUAGAGCCCAAUUUUAGGGCUUGUUAUUCCAGAUAAAAGAAUGUGCUUUUCCAAGUUUAUGCCAAAUUACACAAAGUGUAUGCAUUUAGGUUAAUGGAUAUUUACUUUAAGCACAAUUCUAUCAGGUCUGUUUUAAAAAUAUUAAAUAUACACUAUUGAAUUGUGAACUUGAAAGUUAAGGUGGCCCCAAUUAAUAGAACUGUAACAGUCAUUCAUAGUUUAUCCCCUUCCAGUCUGAUCACAUAUCUACAUGUGUGCACAUGUACUUAGACAUGAACACAGACACACACACACACACACACACACACACACACACACACACACACACUUCUUCCACAGCAGGCUGCAGAUUAUCAGAACAACUAUUUUAAAGGAAUAAUUCUCUGUUCUCUAAAAAAUGCUGAAAAUCACAGCAAAUGAAGAAUGUUUCAUUUAUGCAUUCUAAAAUAUUUGCUGUCAGAGUGGCUAAGGCACUGAGGUUGGACUGAAAGACGUUCUGUGGAGUAGCACAGAGGACAUCUAACAAGAUCAUCAGAUCCCUUUGAAAGUCCCUUGUUUUCAGAAAAUUCAUGAGGUAUAUCCAAUCAGUAGGCAAUGGUUGACAGUGUAUGGUACAUCUGCAUUUCUUUAACAUAGCUGCCAUGUACCAUAGUCUAUUGUAGCCUUUUGCAUGUGGGUAUUAUGUAAUAGAAUAAUGAAUGGGUGGCUCUUAGUAGCAUGCAACACUUGACUUGUUCUUUUCUCCAAAAGGGCUAAGGCUGUGUUCUGAACAGUGCUCAAAACCAUUAAAUGUGUUCUUUGGAGCAGCCUAGUAUACAGCCAUCAGCAGAAUGAGUUAAAACAUACAAUGAGUUCAAUAUGUCAGGAAAUAGAUUUUUAGUAGGGAAUGGUUAAAGGAAAAGAACAAUAAGAUGCAUUCAAAGAAUAAUUGCUUUCACCCUGCUGGCUAAAUCAGCAAAGGAGCACAGCAGGAAAACUGGGACUGGGUCUUGAUAAUAUAGGAAAUGUAUUGGAGAGCCAGAAAGCUAAAGGCACUGGGGACCUCAGCAGUUAAGUUCAAGUUGCCAAUUUGCUACAAAUUCCUUUUUCCAUCAAUCUGCUUAAAGUGACUGUAUAUAGUAUUCUUCAAACCAUGUGUCUUGCUGCAGAAAUACUGACAAAUUCUGGUCAGCUUUAUCUUCCUAUGUCUUUCAUUAAAAUUAUGUA